UAAUGGUAUACUCAAAUUGUGAACAGCAUC
rnacentral:piRNA from 1 species